rnacentral:rRNA from 1 species
AGCGAACGCUGGCGGCAGGCCUAACACAUGCAAGACGAACGAACUCUUCGGAGUUAGUGGCGGACGGGUGAGUAACACGUGGGAACGUGCCUUUUGGUUCGGAAUAACUCAGGGAAACUUGUGCUAAUACCGAAUGUGCCCUUCGGGGGAAAGAUUUAUCGCCAUUAGAGCGGCCCGCGUCUGAUUAGCUAGUUGGUGAGGUAACGGCUCACCAAGGCGACGAUCAGUAGCUGGUCUGAGAGGAUGACCAGCCACACUGGGACUGAGACACGGCCCAGACUCCUACGGGAGGCAGCAGUGGGGAAUCUUGCGCAAUGGGCGAAAGCCUGACGCAGCCAUGCCGCGUGAAUGAUGAAGGUCUUAGGAUUGUAAAAUUCUUUCACCGGGGACGAUAAUGACGGUACCCGGAGAAGAAGCCCCGGCUAACUUCGUG